AGUGAACGCUGGCGGCAGGCCUAACACAUGCAAGUCGAACGGCAGCACAGUAAGAGCUUGCUCUUACGGGUGGCGAGUGGCGGACGGGUGAGGAAUACAUCGGAAUCUACUUUUUCGUGGGGGAUAACGUAGGGAAACUUACGCUAAUACCGCAUACGACCUACGGGUGAAAGCAGGGGAUCUUCGGACCUUGCGCGAUUGAAUGAGCCGAUGUCGGAUUAGCUAGUUGGCGGGGUAAAGGCCCACCAAGGCGACGAUCCGUAGCUGGUCUGAGAGGAUGAUCAGCCACACUGGAACUGAGACACGGUCCAGACUCCUACGGGAGGCAGCAGUGGGGAAUGUUGGACAAUGGGCGCAAGCCUGAUCCAGCCAUACCGCGUGUGUGAAGAAGGCCUUCGGGUUGUAAAGCCCUUUUGUUGGGAAAGAAAAGCAGCAGGUUAAUACCCCGCUGUUCUGACGGUACCCGAAGAAUAAGCACCGGCUAACUUCGUG
rnacentral:rRNA from 1 species